rnacentral:rRNA from 1 species
GACGAACGCUGGCGGCGUGCUUAACACAUGCAAGUCGAACGGAAAGGCCCCUUUGGGGGUACUCGAGUGGCGAACGGGUGAGUAACACGUGAGUAACCUUCCCUUUACUUCGGGAUAACUUCAGGAAACUGGGGCUAAUACCGGAUAGGAAUCCUUGCUGCAUGGUGUGGGUUGGAAAGCUUCGGCGGUUUUGGAUGGACUGGCGGCUUAUCAGCGUGUUGGUGCGGUAGUGGCUUACCGAGGCUUUGAGGGGUAGCCGGACUGAGAGGGUGACCGGCCACAUUGGGACUGAGAUAAGGCCGAGACUCCUAAGGGAGGCAGAAGUGGGGAAGACUGAACCAUGGGCGGCAGCCGGAUGAAGAAACGCCGCGGGCGGGAUGACGGCCUUCGGGUUGAAAAACGGCUUCAGCAGGGGAGAAGCUUGUGGUGACGGUACCUGAAGAAGAAGCACCGGCUAACUACGUG